rnacentral:rRNA from 1 species
CAUCCUCCAAGGCUAAAUACUCCUGACUGACCGAUAGUGAACCAGUACCGUGAGGGAAAGGCGAAAAGAACCCCGGCGAGGGGAGUGAAAAAGAACCUGAAACCGUGUACGUACAAGCAGUGGGAGCACAGGUUUACCUGUGUGACUGCGUACCUUUUGUAUAAUGGGUCAGCGACUUAUAUUCUGUAGCAAGGUUAACCGAAUAGGGGAGCCGGAGGGAAACCGAGUCUUAACUGGGCGUUAAGUUGCAGGGUAUAGACCCGAAACCCGGUGAUCUAGCCAUGGGCAGGUUGAAGGUUGGGUAACACUAACUGGAGGACCGAACCGACUAAUGUUGAAAAA